rnacentral:ncRNA from 1 species
AACAGAUUUGGUCCUAGUCUUUUUAUUGACUAACCCUAUAAUGAUACAUGCUAGCCCUUCGACACAACUGUGAGUAACUCCCUUUCCCACCUCUUUAAAUAGACAAAAUAGUAUCAGAAUACCCCCUAGGGAAUCAAAGACACUUAGACAUCCACACCUGCAGUACUUAAAAUUUUACAAUAAGCGAAAGCUUGAUAUAGUAAUAGGACAGAGAUCCGGUUAAUUAUGUGCCAGCCACCGCGGUUAUACAUAAAGACCUAGCCAAUAAAUCCGCGGUAAAAACUGUGGUAAAGAAACCAUACUAAAUGAAAUAAAAGCAAACUUUGGCAGUAACAAGCUAAUAGUCCCCAAAUUACAGAAAACAUGUACCUAAUUUCAGACUGCCCCCAAACCACUAAAGCUCCAAGAUAAACUGGGAUUAGAUACCCCACUAUAUGAGCCAUAAAAUACCAACACACCUGAGAACUACGAGUAAACACUUAAAACUCAAAGGACUUGGCGGUUUUCUAAUUCUACCUGGAGGAGCUUGCUAUCUAACCGAUAAUCCACGUUAUACCUCACCAGCCUUUGAAAUAUACAGCUUGUAUACCAUCGUCGUCAGUUUACUUCACAAGAAAUGUAAACAAAAAGAACCUCCCCCUUCUUAACGUCAGAUCGAGGUGCAGCUAAUAAGCUGGGGAUAAGUGAGCUACAAUCAUACUAAUAACCUAAACCCUAUCGAUGAACGGCAAUCUGAAACAGUUGCCUAAAACAGGAUUCAGAAGUAAUGGACAAGAGAAAAUGCCCACGAACAACUAAGCCCUAGAACGCGCACACAUCGCCCGUCACUCUCCUCAUCAGAGGAGAAAAGUCGUAACAUAGUAGGCGUAUUGGAAAAUGUGCCUGGAAUAAA